rnacentral:rRNA from 1 species
GACGAACGCUGGCGGCGUGCCUAACACAUGCAAGUCGAGCGAGUUGAUCCCUUCGGGGUGAAGCUAGCGGCGGACGGGUGAGUAACACGUGGGCAACCUGCCUCAUAGAGGGGAAUAGCCUUCCGAAAGGAAGAUUAAUACCGCAUUAGAUUGUAGCUUCGCAUGAAGCAGCAAUUAAAGGAGCAAUCCGCUAUGAGAUGGGCCCGCGGCGCAUUAGCUAGUUGGUGAGGUAACGGCUCACCAAGGCGACGAUGCGUAGCCGACCUGAGUGGGUGAUCGGCCACAUUGGGACUGAGACACGGCCCAGACUCCUACGGGAGGCAGCAGUGGGGAAUAUUGCACAAUGGGGGAAACCCUGAUGCAGCAAUGCCGCGUGAGUGAUGACGGCCUUCGGGUUGUAAAGCUCUGUCUUCGGGGACGAUAAUGACGGUACCCGAGGAGGAAGCCACGGCUAACUACGUGCCAGCCGCCGCGGUAA